rnacentral:tRNA from 1 species
GGUAGGGUGUCCGAGUGGCCGAUGGAGCCGGUCUUGAAAACCGGUGUGCCGAAAGGCACCGUGGGUUCGAAUCCCACCCCUACCG